UAGGGAAUCUUCCACAAUGGACGCAAGUCUGAUGGAGCAACGCCGCGUGAGUGAAGAAGGUUUUCGGAUCGUAAAGCUCUGUUGUUGGUGAAGAAGGAUAGAGGCAGUAACUGGUCUUUAUUUGACGGUAAUCAACCAGAAAGUCACGGCUAACUACGUGCCAGCAGCCGCGGUAAUACGUAGGUGGCAAGCGUUGUCCGGAUUUAUUGGGCGUAAAGCGAGCGCAGGCGGAAUGAUAAGUCUGAUGUGAAAGCCCACGGCUCAACCGUGGAACUGCAUCGGAAACUGUCAUUCUUGAGUGCAGAAGAGGAGAGUGGAACUCCAUGUGUAGCGGUGGAAUGCGUAGAUAUAUGGAAGAACACCAGUGGCGAAGGCGGCUCUCUGGUCUGCAACUGACGCUGAGGCUCGAAAGCAUGGGUAGCGAACAGGAUUAGAUACCCUGGUAGUCCAUGCCGUAAACGAUGAGCGCUAGGUG
rnacentral:rRNA from 1 species